rnacentral:rRNA from 1 species
GACGAACGCUGGCGGCGUGCUUAACACAUGCAAGUCGUACGGUAAGGCCCUUUCGGGGGUACACGAGUGGCGAACGGGUGAGUAACACGUGAGUAACCUGCCCACAACUUUGGGAUAACGCUAGGAAACUGGUGCUAAUACUGGAUAUGUGCUCCUGCUGCCUGGUGGGGGUUGGAAAGCUCCGGCGGUUGUGGAUGGACUCGCGGCCUAUCAGCUUGUUGGUGGGGUAGUGGCCUACCAAGGCGGCGACGGGUAGCCGGCCUGAGAGGGUGACCGGCCACAUUGGGACUGAGAUACGGCCCAGACUCCUACGGGAGGCAGCAGUGGGGAAUAUUGCACAAUGGGCGCAAGCCUGAUGCAGCAACGCCGCGUGCGGGAUAACGGCCUUCGGGUUGUAAACCGCUUUCAGCAGGGACGAAGCUUUUUGUGACGGUACCUGCAGAAGAAGCACCGGCUAACUACGUG